AUGAAGAACACCUGGGACUGGAACCUGGAGGAGGACAUGUAUCCCAUCUAUAACGUUAAAUGUGUUAUGUGUACGUGCAACUUGUGUGGUUGUUGCACGGGCUCCAACACGCUCUUUGAGAAAAAAAAAGGUGGCACAGCUUUGGAUAUACGUGACGUGGCGGCAUCAUACAGUAGCAUCGUUCGCUAUAGUUUAGUAGAAUUGAGAUUUAAUGCACUUUCUUCCCCGUCUUCCACUCUUCUUCCUCCUCUCUUCUUCUUCCUCCUCUCUUCCCAUUCAUCGGCCGCACACCAUUUCCCCCCGCUCACUGCUCGCUCGCCCGCGCUUUCUUCCUUGUACCAUAUAACUGGAAUUAACCCAUGCAAGUCGAAGAAGGAUUGGUCGGUGCUGCCGGCUGGCGUCAAGUUCGAUCCCACGGAUCAGGAGCUGAUCGAGCACCUUGAGGCCAAAGUGAGUGCUGACAGCGCGAGAUCUCACCCUCUCAUCGAUUUGUUCAUACCAACCAUCGACAGCGAGCACGGCAUAUGCUACACCCAUCCUGAGAAACUUCCAGGUAUCACACUGAGUGGCCUAAGCAAGCAUUUCUUCCAGCGCAAUUCCAGGACGUUCAGAAGGGGCACAUGGACGCGUCGCAAGAUACAGUCGGAAUGCGACAUGCACGCGAUGUGGCACAACACCGGCAAUACCUUGCCGGUGAUGGUCAACGGCCGGCAGACGAGCAGCAAAAAGGUUCUGGUGCUGCACACCAACAAGAACUUCGACCAGCAGAGGACCAACUGGGUGAUACACCAGUACCACCUCGGGGACCUGGAGCAAGAGAAGGAGCGGGAGCUGGUCCUUUGCAAGAGUUUCUACUAG
rnacentral:rRNA from 1 species